UCGUCGUCGACUAGUCGCUGUCGUCGCUCGUGUCGUGAGAUGUUGGGUUAAGUCCCGCAACGAGCGCAACCCUUGUCACUAGUUGCCACCAUUCAGUUGGGCACUCUAGUGAGACUGCCGGUGACAAACCGGAGGAAGGUGGGGAUGACGUCAAGUCCUCAUGGCCCUUAUGACCUGGGCUACAAACGUGAUACAAUGGCUGAAACAAAGGGCAGCGAAGCAGUGAUGUGGAGCGAAACCCAAAAAAGCAGUCUCAGUUCGGAUUGAAGUCUGCAACUCGACUUCAUGAAGUUGGAAUCGCUAGUAAUCGUAGAUCAGAACGCUACGGUGAAUACGUUCUCGGGGUUU
rnacentral:rRNA from 1 species